CUCAAAUGAAGGGGGUGAUGACGCAAUCUUUGCGAGAGGGAGGGAAUCUGAUUUCAUUGUUCCUCAGCUCGCGACUCAACACUUAAUUCAGGAUAAAUGGCGUUAGCCUACCGAGGAGGAUUCAUUGCCAUAGAAAUGUACCUGGCUAAAAUAUGAGCCACUUUCUUGGUAUUGGUUAUCCCGAGUUGAACUCAAUUGACCAAAGUUACCUCGCUAAUUCCUCAAACCAGUGAACUGGUAGUGGCAGAGCUCACAGGCGCUGGUGCCAGAGGCAGAGAGCCAGUGCUCCAGGCAGCUCCGGUGGAUGGUACCCAGGGUCCCUGCACACUCACAGGGGGAGAGCAGCUCCUCCUGACCCCCUCCGUCAUGACAGAUCCGACACAUGGGCCGCUCAGGCAGAGGGCUUCGGCGAUAUGGAACGAGCUUGGGACCGCAGGUGGAAAAAUGUGCCGUUCCACCCUUGAGCAAGGAAAUUAACCCCCAACACAACUGCUCCCCGUGCGCUGAUGACGUGGACGUCGAUUAAGGCAGCACCCCGCACCUCUCUGAUUUAGAGGGGUUGGGUUAAAUGCAGAAGACACAGCUGAAUGCAUUCAGUUGUGCAACUGACUAGGUAUUCCCCUUCCCCCUUUCUGAGAACAAUAACAGCUGACUAGGGAUCCUACUUCCCCCUUUCUGAGAAUAAUAACAACUGACUAGGGAUCCUACUUCCCCCUUUCUGAGAACAAUAACAUCUGACUAAGUAUCUGGGCAGGUAGCCUAGUGGUUAGAGCAUUGUGCCAGUAACCGGAAGGUUGCUGGAUUGAAUCCCCAAGCUGACAAGGUAAAAAUCUGUCUUUCUGCCCCUGAGCAAGGCAGUUAACCCACGGUUCCCCGGGCGCUGAAGACAUGGAUGUCGAUUAAGGCAGCCCCCGCACCUCUCUGAUUCAGAGAUUAGGUUAAAUGCGGAAGACACAUUUCAGUUGAAGGCAUUCAGUUCGACAACUGACUAGGUAUCCACCCUUCCCUUUGCCCUUUCUGAGAACAAUAACUAAGAUUGGACAUCACAAUUCACUGACUAGAGGUUUUCAAAAAUAUCAUGUCAAUAUUUCAGUGGAUAGAAAACUAGCUGGUUAAAUAACAAAACCCUGGGAGGGAGUUGGUGUAAUUUGACGCUGUCACACAUUGUUAGAAUACCCUGUCUAUUCUGUCUCUGUACUAUGCAUACAUACAGUACAUCUCUUAGAUUAUAGACUCAAAUCAAACAUUUUCUGGAUUAAAACAACAUAUGCAAGGAGGAUUAUUACUUUCAUUUACUAUAUGGACUGUAAUCUAUGAUUCACCAAUCUCCUAUAUGGCAUCUAAUCCUCUAAUCUGGAUGAUGAUUAUGUUGGGUUGUUGAUCGCCUUGAUUUCAUCAGGAAACUAAGCCGAUGUCUUUGACGGAAUGAAUGAGCCCCUCACUCAACAAACCUCCCCUUGAACAUAAACACUUGUCGCUGCCAAUAACUAACACAACAGAAUGAACAUCAUCUUGUCAGACAAAUGAAUUAAUAAUAAGAUUUUGCUAGAACAAAAAAACUUUGGAGUCGUCGUCAGUUUGAAGUAAUAAAAGCCUUUAAACCUAAUCUGGAAAUUGUUUUUCAUGUUGAUCAUCAACAGAACAAACAUGACGACAACGUCACUGGAUAUGAAAACAACUAAUAAACAUCUAUAGCGAUAAUGUUUGUUGAUUUAGUUUAUAUUAGACAUAUAUGAUAAAAAUACAUAUUUAUAACCUGGUCCCAGAUCUGUUUGUGUUGUCUUGCCAAUGGCCAGACAUAGAGUUGGAAAGACGGCACAAGUAGACCUUGGACUCGGAUAGCACAUACUCUUCAAUCAGUAUUUAUUAAAUAAUACAUUGUAGAUUGUAGCCACCAUGGCAAUUUAUUCUGUAAUAUUUAUUCUGUAAUCGGUAGCAAAUUAAGUUGAUCCCAAUUCUAUAAUGUAUGCUACCAGCUCUACUGUAUGCCAAUCUAUGCUAGCUACCGCUUUGCUACUAUGCUAUCUAUCUCUAAGCUAAGCUACCCUAUCCUAGCUAGUGCAAUGCCACAGGCUGAUUAUUAAGAGGGCUUUGGGGGGGCUAACAGUUGUGACCCAGUCUGCAUGACUGCAGCUGUUGCCGCUAAAGCCCCCCUUUGUCUCCCAUAGUGUGUGUGAGUGACAGAGUCCCGUCAGGCGUACAUGCUAAUCAAGGUGCUAAAUUUAGACUCUGCACCAUCCGGCCAGAACAGGACAUUUGUUGUGUUUCAAAUGUACAGACAUUUACCCCACAGGGCCAGUUAGUGUGAUUGGUAUGCAAGUUAUGUAGCUGUCUGAAGCCAUAGUUACUCAUCUAUAGGAUCUAUAUAGUCCUCUUUCACUGCACAGAGAACAAGAAGGACAUCCCAGACAGAUAGAGGGGGGAAAUCCUUUUGAGAGGCACUUGAUUUGUUACCAUUCAGAAAUCGUGUUUGGUUAUAUUUGGGUAUAUAUUUAAAACUAGCUUCACUUUACCUCUGACCCCCACCAACCCCUCCCCUCCACACCCGUACAAAACUCUAUUCCAUCCAUGUUUGGCAGGUCCAUACCUCUGUUUGGCGUACGCUCCCACGAUAGGUGACAGCAGCUGCCCAUCCUUGGCAGACACUUGCAUGUAGUACUGCGGCUCUCCAUUGGCCGGACUGCUCUGCUCUUCCAUUGCUUUUCCUGGGAGGUCAGGCUCUGUCGGGUAGUCCAGGCUACCCAUUGGAUCAAAGUCCUUGUCGCUCAAGCAACUCCCUGUGUGGGUAGAGUCU